rnacentral:rRNA from 1 species
UACGGGGGGAGCAAGCGUUGUUCGGAUUUACUGGGCGUAAAGGGCGCGUAGGCGGCCUGUGCAAGUCAGUUGUGAAAUCUCCGGGCUUAACUCGGAACGGUCAACUGAUACUGCUCGGCUAGAGUGCGGAAGGGGCAACUGGAAUUCUUGGUGUAGCGGUGAAAUGCGUAGAUAUCGGGAGGAACACCUGUGGCGAAAGCGGCUCUCUGGACCACAACUGACGCUGAGGCGCGAAAGCUAGGGGAGCAAACAGG